rnacentral:rRNA from 1 species
UUGAACGCUGGCGGCAUGCCUUACACAUGCACGUCGAACGGCAUCGCGGGAAAGCUUGCUUUCCUGGCGGCGAGUGGCGAACGGGUGAGUAACACAUCGGAACGUACCGGCUAGUGGGGGAUAACCCGUCGAAAGACGGGCUAAUACCGCAUACGCUCUUCGGAGGAAAGCAGGGGACCUUUGGGCCUUGCGCUAGCCGAGCGGCCGAUGUCCGAUUAGCUAGUUGGUGGGGUAAAGGCCUACCAAGGCGACGAUCGGUAGCGGGUCUGAGAGGACGAUCCGCCACACUGGGACUGAGACACGGCCCAGACUCCUACGGGAGGCAGCAGUGGGGAAUCUUGGACAAUGGGGGCAACCCUGAUCCAGCAAUGCCGCGUGGGUGAAGAAGGCCUUCGGGUUGUAAAGCCCUUUCGGCAGGGAAGAAAUCGGCGGGGCGAAUAACCCUGCUGGAUGACGGUACCUGCAGAAGAAGCACCGGCUAACUACGUG